rnacentral:rRNA from 1 species
CCCCUAGAUGUUCUGGGCCGCACGCGCGCUACACUGAACAGUUCAACAAGUCUUAACCUUGGCCGAUAGGUCUGGGUAAUCUUUGAACGCUGUUCGUGAUUGGGAUAGACCUUUGCAAUUAUGGGUCUUCAACGAGGAAUUCCUAGUAAACGCAAGUCAUCAGCUUGCAUUGAUUACGUCCCUGCCCUUUGUACACACCGCCCGUCGCACCUACCGAUUGAAUGGUCCGGUGAAAUCUCGGGACGGCGGCUUGGUCGCUUGCGUCCGACUGCCGAAACUUGAUUAAACCAUAUCAUUUAGAGGAAGGUGAAGUCGUANCA